GCUGGAAACGGCGUCUAAUACCGGAUAUGAGCUGCGGCCGCAUGGUCGGCAGUUGGAAAGAUUUUUCGGUCAGGGAUGAGCUCGCGGCCUAUCAGCUUGUUGGUGAGGUAAUGGCCUCACCAAGGCGUCGACGGGUAGCCGGCCUGAGAGGGUGACCGGCCACACUGGGACUGAGACACGGCCCAGACUCCUACGGGAGGCAGCAGUGGGGAAUAUUGCACAAUGGGCGGAAGCCUGAUGCAGCAACGCCGCGUGAGGGAUGACGGCCUUCGGGUUGUAAACCUCUUUUAGCAGGGAAGAAGCGAAAGUGACGGUACCUGCAGAAAAAGCGCCGGCUAACUACGUGCCA
rnacentral:rRNA from 1 species